rnacentral:rRNA from 1 species
CCAGACUCCUACGGGAGGCAGCAGUGGGGAAUAUUGCACAAUGGGGGGAACCCUGAUGCAGCGACGCCGCGUGGGCGAGGAAGUAUUUCGGUAUGUAAAGCCCUAUCGGCAGGGAAGAAGAAAUGACGGUACCUGAAUAAGAAGCACCGGCUAAAUACGUGCCAGCAGCCGCGGUAAUACGUAUGGUGCAAGCGUUAUCCGGAUUUACUGGGUGUAAAGGGAGCGCAGGCGGCACGGCAAGCCUGAUGUGAAAGCCCGCGGCCCAACCGCGGGACUGCAUUGGGAACUACCGGGCUGGAGUGCCGGAGAGGUAGGCGGAAUUCCUAGUGUAGCGGUGAAAUGCGUAGAUAUCAGGAGGAACACCGGUGGCGAAGGCGGCCUGCUGGACUGCAACUGACGUUGAGGCCCGAAAGCGUGGGGAGCAAACAGGAUUAGAUACCCUUGUA